rnacentral:tRNA from 1 species
GAUAGUGUGGCCGAGUGGUCUAUGGCGNCUGGUUUUAGGCACCAGUCUCUUCGGAGGCAAGGGUUCGAAUCCCUUCACUGUCA